CAGAAGGCAGGCUCACGGCGCGCCAGGCGAGAUCCCCGGAGAUGGGGUCGGAGGGCAACCGACCGCCCCCACCGGCGCGCUCGUCCUCCGCUCCGGGACGGGACCUACUGCCGCGGCCGGUGACUUCGCCCCGGCCGCCACGCUGCCGCCUCCUCGUUGCCGGCGGCCCGCGGGACCGGAGCCCCGACUCUCCCCCCAGCCCCUGCCUGGGGUUUCUGUUCGGAUUCUGCUCGUUCACGAGCUCUCUGGCACUGGAGACCUUCUCAUGCAUUGCAAAACCAUUAAUGCUGGCCAUGGAGAUCCUUGCCUCUUCAGGAUUCAGAACAGCUCGGUGCACAACAGUCUUGAUUUUGCCAUUGCUCAGGACUUCCAUGUGGUCUCCUACGUGGACAUGCAAUGCAUGUGGCAGUGGCUGGACCACUUUCCAGCUGUUGCUGUUGCGGUCGACGACCUCCAGGCCUCGACAACUUGUGAACAAGAUGAUUGGGGGGUUUUCCGGCCAAUAUUGCAUCCAUUCACUCAGGGGAUGGGCAUAAUGCUUUAGUUUGAAGAAAUCUGAAGCUGCUUCAACAGCUCCAUCCAUGACAGAUUGACUGAUCCCAUGGUUUAUAAUCUGCAAAAUGGAGAUAGGCAAGUAAGCUUUCUUUGUUCCCUUGCACCUGCUUGUUAGUAGAGACAGAGUGCCCAAGAAGAGUUCAUGAAAGACCGUACCUUAACUCUAGUGUAGCUACACAGCCUUAAGUUCUCCUCUAAUGUUUUACAAUUUUAGUAGUGGUCCUUGAGAACCUUGACAUUGCUUAUAUUUGAGAGUUGAAGCUGGAAACAUUUUAUACGCACAGAAGGCACCUGCUGUAUAAAUGAUUUGUUAUUUCUCGUACUGAGAGGUCACCCUGUCAGAGAACACGCCUUAGUAAUAUUCUUUGCUGCCUUGCUAUGUCCACAUGUACCCAUAGGACAAUGAUGCAGUUGUUAAAACUAGCCAUUUAGGUCGACCCCGGCUCCCUGUUGCUCUAGAACCAGACAUCUAUAUCGAGUAGGCUUAGGCCCUGUUACAGAUUUACAACUAAAAAAAAUGAAGGAAACUGAGAUGCUUGAACAUGCACGUUGUGUACGUACUUCAGAAUAUCUUUUCUAAAUUUUAUGAAGACUAAAUUACAGAUCAAAACUUCACAAAUGCUCCCAAUACUGAAAUGUUACAUCAUAAAAAAAAGAUUAAGAAUGUAGCAGGAAAAGGGAAUUAUCUACAACCGACAAGUGCUCUAAAAUGACCUUCAUUGCGGUGAUAACUGAAGGACGAAAUGGGGACUGAACUUCUCAGCUUCAUGUUAUUUAUCAGUUUCCAUCUAACCAAGCGACAAAAUGUAGCUGGUCCUCCGCGUAUCGUACAGUUCUCGCCAAUCCCCGGUUCCUCAUACAGUCGUGUGAUGAGUUCUAGUAUACUUUAUAUACACUGUUUAGACAGCUCAUACUCUUCAUUUUGGGGGACAAAAGGAGGAUGGAGCUCAUCAAACUAUUUAGCUGAGUGCAGGCAGUUUGCUCCAAAGAUGGUGCGUGUACUACUACUAACAAUGCGGUGCUGUCACAGCUAGCCGCAGGAUUUCGAAGGUCAUCAUAGCUCCUAAUUUUCCUGUGGUCGCUCUUCUGCAGUGGUUUUUCAACCACAAAUCUAGUUUGGUUUCCUAGUUUAUUUGUCUGUACAGUCGUCUUCCUUGGUCAACAUUGUGGACACAAGUGGCAAUGUUAUCCAUUGCAGUCUGGAAAAGAUAAAUGCCAAGGCAAAGGCAGAAAAGAAAAAGACAGGAAGGUGUGGCAAUGUUCUCAAGGAGUAUACCUGGAAGUAUCCUAGAUCACGGCAUGCUUUGGUAAUAUCUUCAACCACACGAGCUCGUGUCGCUGGGUCAAGGUUGAGGUGACCCACGUUGAUCACCGGCAUUGGCGGCGGGUGGAGGUUGUCGGAGGGGAGCUGCUCCUGAGGGACAGUCCUUGAGUCAUCAGACAUGUUGACUUAGUACUGUACAAGGAGCAGAGUCCAAUCUCAGUAUCUUUACGCAGAAACGAAACGGGAUGAAGUGUUCCUCCAUGGUGCGGCAUCUACUUAUAGGCAGCUUCAUUCCAGUGUCUGCUCGUUCCAAAUAAGAGGUCAAGCCAUUCAUGUCCAUGCAUGCAUGCACUUGGCAAUAUAUAUAAUUAUCGGUCCAGGGGAAGCUCCUACGCGGGGCCUACGUCGGCAACAGGAAGAGCCCGACAAAAUGUGAAUAUUCAUUUAUGUCGCCUGUGUGCCGCCGCAUAGCAAAUUGGGAGUAUCUUUAAUACCGCGCUCCGGGCCACUCAUUCACUCUUUCGUCACAUAUGCUCCAUUGUCCUGGUAUGCAACUGGUUGUUGUUUAGGACACAAUUAUGAAGUUAUCUCUUGGCCUACAUAUACUUCUUCGUCCUGGUAUGCAACUGGUUUUUGUUUAGGACGCAAUUAUGAAGUUAUCUCUGGGACACAACUUGUUUCUGCCAAUGUUUCUGGUGCUGUCCAGGGUGUUGCUUCAUGGAGAAGGCUGGAUUCCCUCAUUGGAAACUUCGGCUACCCCCUGCAGUGUCAGCAAAUUGGGAGUAUCUUAAUCCUACGUUCCAUGCCCCCUACUUCUUUGUUCCUGUUAUGCAACUGGUGUUUGUUUAGGAGACACAGCAAUAAUAAAAAUAUCUUACUGAUGCAACUUGUUUCUGCCCAUUUUUUCGCUGCUGUCCUAUCCAGUGGGCGAUCAUGAAGGCUGGAAUCCCGGACGCAGCCUGGGGCUACUCGUUAAAACCCUUUGGAUGGUCCCCAAAAAAGUUCAAUCUUGUCGGUUCCCACAGGACGACGCCUCUCAUGUCCUGUCACCUGAUUUUCAUCCCGCUUACGCGUGCGGUGCAACUGGGAUUUUCUUAGGUGCAGCGGCGAUGAUGUUGUAUGGCCUGACCAGGAGGGGCUCAUGGAGACUGUGGAGUGCUGCUGGAAGCUGCUGCUGCUGAUCUGAAUGGAAGCUUGGCUUAGUUAAUUGGCGCAGUUGCAGUCGGCGAAAAGGGCUAUUUUUGGUGGUUCUCGUAGGCUGCCAUGUUAUAUACUUUUGUGGUAGCAGAUAGCUUGGCCAGAGAGGGUGGACGCGGAUGAGCCGCGUCGUUGCUUGGUUUUGGAUACGAGCCAUCAUCCCUACCACUACUCUCGGCGUGUAGCACGGAGGAACUUCCUGUCCUGCUUUUCUUUUUUACCUGGUGAAGAUGAGCUGCAACUGCAAGUGCUGUGUUUACUCUCGCUCCAUCCGCGUCCUCUGCGACGUAAGUGUUUCGUUGCCUCUCGCUCUAUCCACGUCCUCUGUGACGGUGCCAGGAAAGGCCGCCGCACUGGGGUUUGUCCACAUGUCUUGGCAUGAAAACUUUGGCCGUUCACGGAAGUUUGGGCGUGUGCAGUAGUUUGUAUCUGUUGGUGUUGGUGCUUAAUCUCGUCGUGAUCCUCUCUUGUAUCUUAACUUUGGUUUGCCUUGUAUUUCAAUUCGGUUGUUUUUAUCAAGAACAUAGUUCCAUCUUAAUUCUAGUUCCCCCAAUUGGUGCCCUCGAUGAUUUUUAUCUACAUGCAAUGCUAACAUGAAAGCUAUUUUUUGUUGCGUGGCUUCGAUACAAAUACAAGCGAGCGUGUAAGCAGUAGUGGUCAGUGGCGGAGGCACGGGGGACCAGCAGGGGCCCCGGCCCUCCCAAACAUAAGUCACUUCUUUGCAUUUUGGGCAUGAACAGUAAUUUUUUUGGAAUGUUUUCUUAAUCGGGCCCCCUCUAAGAUCAUAAAUUUACGAUUCCUGCCUCCGCCACUGGUAGUGGUGUGUGUGUGUCUCCACGGCCCGCGCAAGGUUGAAUCAUUCUUUGCUUUCGUAGCGACAAUCGAAUAGGGGUUGGUGGCUUGCGAUAGGUUCCGGAGAGAUGGUUGUUGCCUUCUCGGGAAAGUUUUUCUUUUACGAGCGCUAGAGGGAUGAGCUAGAUACCUUUUCUAUAUGACAUGCGCUAGAGAAUAAAAAUAUCAUACCUUUUGCGUUGGAUCAUCCAAUGAAGUGGAUGCAUGCAUAUAUCUCAAGUGGUAUUUUUCUUGUGGAGUAAGUUGGAUACUGAUUUCUUCUUCAAUAGAACCAUCCGCUUUCUUUUGAAUCUAGUAUUACCAAUUACAUCCCAUAAUGUUUUUGAAGUCGGGGGUUCUCAAUGCCACCGCCAUGGGUUCUAGAGCCCUCGGGCAAGUUCUCUAUCAAGUCAAUGUAUGCCAAACUAUCAACAGUUUUGGAAAGCGCCGAACCCUUUUAAAUUUAAGUUUUUCCAAUGGCAAGCUUGGAGAAAUUGAGAGUGAAUUGCAAGAAACCACCAAAUUUGGGGCUUCUCUUGCAGAAAACAACCUGAUCGCUAAUCUUUUGCAAAAGCCACCGCGCAUUCAGUAAAAGUUUUGCAGAUUGCACUGAACCUGUCAUUUGGCGCGGUUGAGGGUGUUUCCGACAGGUGGGGCCCAAUUUUGGUGACGUGUCCUAACGGACGCGCGGACGGCGCCGUUACCUUAAGACCGACGCGGUCAGGUCGCGAGAGACAGACCGCCCGCGCCCAACCACAUCUCGCUCGCUCUCUUUGCUCUCACGCUCGCUCGCUCCCCUCCCUCUUGCUCCUCUCCUCUCCGGUCGCCGCCGGCCGCCGGCCGCCAUGGUGUCCUGGAGCGACAACGAGAGCACUGAGGGCUCCGCCGCGCAGUACAUCUCCUCCGACGACUCCCCUAUCAAGAUCCCAGCUACAAUUGAUGAGCCGUCGUUCGAGGGUCUUGUUGACGACUUGAAUGUGAUUUGUGAGCAUGGGAAUCCAAGGAGGAAAUAUGUUGCAUUUGAGGGGAUAAGCACUGGGAGGGGGUUCAUUGCCUGUGCCACUGAAGGUGUUGCAAAUUGUGGAUUAGUGCAGUGGGUAGAUGAGCAUUGGCUAGAGCAUCUGCAGAAUGCUAUUCAUAAGCUGUGGCUUAUGUAUGAGGAUAGCCAGCAUAAUAACAGGAUGGCAUGCCUGGAGCAUUCAUGCACUGUACACAAUCUGACACAGCAGAAAAAAAGAGUUGUAGGAGACGUAUGAGAAGCUUGUUGAAGAUGUGAACAACCUCUUGGAUUAUAAGGAUAGCCAGCCUGAGGUAAACUAGAAGAAUGAUGCUGAGAACAUUUCAGUGAGUGUGGAAAGCAGCAUGACAAAGGAUGCUGAGAUUAAAAAAUUGAAGGCUGGUGUUGACCAGUUAAAGCAAAUUCAUGUAGCUCAAGCCACUGUCAUUAGGAAUUUUAAGUUCAACCAUCUUAAAGAGAAGGAAAAGUUGAGCUCUGAUAAGAGGACUUUGGAGAUUUGCUAUGCUGGCCUAAAGAAAGAGAAGGAUGACCUGAAGAAAGAGAAGGAUAAGCUGGAUUGUUGCAUUGCUGAGCUGAUGAAACCGAAGGAGAAGUUGACCAUGGAGAAGAGUACUCUUCCUUCCUGCAUUGUUGAGCUCAAGACAGCAGGUGAUAGCAACAAGAGUAAGCUUAACCAGAUUAAGGCUAUUUGUGAUGAGGACUAAGUUGUGUUGUUGCCUGACCAUGUGUGUCAAUGAUGUCUUUUGUAGUAGCUAUGGAGGAAAUUUUGUAAUGUGUUAAGCUUUAUUGUGGUGAAAUCUACUAUUUCUGUAGCAAUGAACCUUGGAUUGUAUGUUGUUUGUCA